rnacentral:rRNA from 1 species
AUGAACCGGGAGAGCAGGUCGUCGUGCGUCGCCGCCGUGUCGCAUUUGCCGUUGCCGGCGGCGAGCUCGAGCUUGCGCUUCUUGAUGACGGCGGCGAGGUACUGGUCGACGUGGGCCAUGCUGCUGGUCAGCGUGGUCUCCAUGCCGAGGCCCAGCCACUUUUUGCAGCGCCACAGGAACUCCGGGAAGAUGAAGCGGUUGAGCGUGGCCUCGGUGGCGCGGUCGAACGCGGAGGCGAACUCGUUCUCCGGCAGGCCCUGGGCGAGCGUCUCCGGGUCCUUGCCGAAGGCCAGGCCGCAGAUGUUGUCGAAGGUGAGGCGGAGGAGGAGGUCCUGGAGAUCCACCUGCGCCUUGCCCUUGGCCGCGUCGGCCAGGAUGGGCAGGAGGCGGCCGUGGAUGGAGCGCGAGACCCAGCGGGACAUGGCCGUCCGGAGCGUGCGGGUGGUGAACUCGAGCGCGGCCGUCUUGCGCUGCGCGAGCCAGGUGUCGCCGUCGGAAUUGAAGAUGCCGUCGCCGAGCAGGUCCCGGAAGACGCCGUGCCAGAAGGGGCCCUUGGGGUAG